rnacentral:rRNA from 1 species
CUACGAAGGGGGCUAGCGUUGUUCGGAAUUACUGGGCGUAAAGCGCGCGUAGGCGGGUUGGCAAGUCAGAUGUGAAAUCCUACAGCUUAACUGUAGAACUGCAUUUGAAACUGCUAACCUAGAGUAUGGGAGGGGGAGGUGGAAUUAGUGGUGUAGGGGUAAAAUCCGUAGAUAUCACUAGGAAUACCGAAAGCGAAGGCGAUCUCCUGGAACAUAACUGACGCUAAGGCGUGAAAGCGUGGGGAGCAAACAGGAUUAGAAACCCUAGUAGUCC